GCUUUGAUAGCUUAAAUGAUUAAAGCAUUGGUCUUGUAAACCAAAGAUUGGAGGUUUACUCCUCAAAGCU
rnacentral:tRNA from 1 species